rnacentral:lncRNA from 1 species
UUUCUACUUUCUAGUUUCCAUAAGGAAAAUAAAAAUCGAUGGAACCGUCUCUUGAGCAUGUGAUGCUCGUAUCUUUCCCAGGCCAAGGGCACAUAAACCCUCUACUUCGUCUCGGAAAGCUCAUAGCUUCGAAAGGCCUACUUGUCACCUUUGUCACCACAGAGCAGCCAUGGGGAGAGAAGAUGCGUCAAGCCAACAAGAUUCAAGACGGCGUGCUCAAACCGGUCGGUUUAGGUUUCCUCCGGUUCGAGUUCUUCAACGAUGGGUUAGCCGACGAUGACGAAAAAAGAACCAACUUCCAAGCCUUCCGACCACACCUUGAACUUGUCGGAAAACGGGAGAUCAAGAACCUCAUCAGGAGAUACGAGCAAGAGGAAAAGCAACCUGUGAGGUGUCUUAUAAACAACGCUUUUGUGCCGUGGGUGUGUGACGUGGCUGAUGAGCUUCAUAUCCCUUCGGCUGUUCUAUGGGUCCAGUCUUGCGCUUGUCUCACCGCUUAUUAUUAUUACCACCACCGGCUAGUUAAGUUCCCGACCAAAACUGAGCCGGAGAUUAACGUUGAAAUCCCAAGCUUACCUUUGUUGAAGCAUGGCGAGAUCCCAAGCUUCCUUCACCCUUCAUCUCCCUUUGCAGCUUAUGGAGAAGUCAUUUUAGACCAGCUCAAGCGACUUGUAAGCCACAAGCCUCUCUUUGUUUUCAUAGACACUUUUCAAGAACUCGAAAAAGAGAUCGUCGACCACAUGUCUAACCUCUGUCCUCAAGUCAAGUUUAGCCCUCUCGGUCCUCUCUUCAAGAUGGCUCAAACUAUAAGCUCUGACGUUAAGGGAGACAUCUCCGCGCCAGCGAGUGACUGCAUGGAGUGGCUCGACUCGAGAGAACCAUCCUCAGUCGUUUAUAUCUCCUUUGGCACUAUAGUCCACUUGAAGCAAGAGCAGUUCGAGGAGAUCGCUCAUGGUGUUUUGAGCUCUGGUUUGUCCUUCUUAUGGGUGGUCCGGCCUCCUAUGGAAGGUUCAAGUGUGAAACCAUAUGUAUUGCCUCGUGAGCUUGAAGAGAAAGGGAAAAUCGUUGAAUGGUGUUCACAAGAGAGAGUGUUGGCUCAUCCUGCGGUUGCUUGCUUCUUAAGUCACUGCGGAUGGAACUCGACAAUGGAGGCUUUGUCUUCGGGAGUUCCCAUGGUCUGUUUUCCGAUGUGGGGAGAUCAGGUGACUGAUGCUGUGUACUUGGUUGAUGUUUUCAAGACAGGAGUGAGACUUGGCCGCGGAGCGGCUGAGGAGAAGAUUGUUCCGAGGGAGGUUGUGUCGGAGAAGUUGCUUGAGGCCACCGUUGGGAAAAAGGCGGUGGAGAUUAGAGAAAGCGCACGGAGGUGGAAGGAAGAAGCGGAGGCAGCCGUGGCGUUCGGUGGAUCAUCGGAUAGGAAGUUUCAAGAGUUUGUGGACGAGUUGAUUACGAAAUCUGUUGCGAGAAAAGACAACGGAGAAUACUCAUGAUGAUGUCACGUAAUAGUCCAAAUUGUUGAUGUAACUCCGAAACCUAGACACCACUACGGUAUGUCAGUAUUCAUAUUAUCUUUUUUCUUUUUCCUUUUGGGUAAAUAACACAUCAAAUCCCAUCUCAUGCUCUAGUGAUGUCGAUCUAUCAAUUUUUACAUUCUAUUUCAUCACUUCGAGCCACAAGCACUUAGAUUUUUAAAACCAUUUUGAUGCAUUAAACUAAUGUCGCCAUAUGGCUUUAAGGUCAUUUAGUAUUGGGCAAUUAUCAAUAAUAGUACAUUUUGAGUUUUUGUCUCAAAAUAGCAUUAGAAGGAGAAAGUCACAAAAAUGACAUUCAUUUAAAGAGUAAAAUAUCUCUAAUACCAUUAGUUUAGAAUUAAAUAAACAAAAAAAAAUAAAAUAAAAAAUAAAAUAAAAAAAAUGGAAAAAAAUAAAACUUUUUUGUAUAGUUUCAGAUUAUAUGUUUUCAGAUUCGAAAUUUUUUAUAAUUUUUUUUGAAAUUAUUUUUUUCGAAUUUUAUUUUUAUUUUUUUUUCAAAUUUUCUUUUUAUAAUUCAAAAAUAAUUUUUGAAACUGUUUUUAAAAUUUAUAUUUUUAAUUUUUUAGUAUUUAUUUUUUAUUUUAUAAAAUUUUAAACCCUAAUUCCAAAACCCACUCCUUAACUCUAAACCCUAAGGUUUGGAUUAAUUAACCCAAAGGGUAUAAGUGUAUAUUUAUUUACCUCUUUAAUGAAAUAUAUUUUUGUGACUUUGAGCUUUGAUUGCUAGUUUAGGAACAAAAACUUGGUUUGAUGCUAUCCUAGUAUUUUUCUCUAUAAAAUAACUUCUUAUUCAUUAAUCUUUGUUUUUUUACUAAUCAAAAAUUAUGUCAUAAAAAAACUUUUGGAAACUUAUAAUAAAAUUUAUAGAAUCAACACAAUCUCAAUAAUCUUCUAAGAUUAUACAAUAUCAAGACUUUGAUAUUCAAACUAUUUAAAAUAAAAAGAUUAUUGCCAGCUUGUCUCAGACGGAGACGUAUGCAAAGCUUCUAUUUAAUCCGAAAAUUGAGAUAGAUGGAGAGACGAACAUAAGAAUAUAUAUAGCAGAAAAGAUUAGAUAGGAAUUAUCGAAAUUGAAGGUUUUAAAGAACAAGGAUAGGUUUCAACUUGUCUGACAAUAAACUUUACGUGUAACUAUAGUUAAUCCGAAAAUUGAAAAAAGAAAACAAAAAAGACCGAUAAAUUACUAUAGGGUUAAAAUCGUCCAAUAAAUAUCGAUAAUAACGGAGAAGUAAGUCGAUGGGUAUUGAGCUAAAUAGGGUAAAGUGCUAAUGUGUGGAGUGCAAUUUCUCAAAAUAAAAUCAGUUUCUACUUUCUAGUUUCCAUAAGGAAAAUAAAAAUCGAUGGAACCGUCUCUUGAGCAUGUGAUGCUCGUAUCUUUCCCAGGCCAAGGGCACAUAAACCCUCUACUUCGUCUCGGAAAGCUCAUAGCUUCGAAAGGCCUACUGGUCACCUUUGUCACCACAGAGCAGCCAUGGGGAGAGAAGAUGCGUCAAGCCAACAAGAUUCAAGACGGCGUGCUCAAACCGGUCGGUUUAGGUUUCCUCCGGUUCGAGUUCUUCAACGAUGGGUUAGCCGACGAUGACGAAAAAAGAACCAACU